AGUGACCGAUAGCGCAUAGUACUGUGAAGGAAAGGUGAAAAGGACCCCGGGAGGGGAGUGAAAGAGAACCUGAAACCCUGUGUUUACAAGCUGUCGAAGCACGAAAGUGCGACGGCGUACUUUUUGUAGAACGGUCCGGCGAGUUAUGAUGAGUGGUAAGGUUAAGGACUUAAGGUCCGGAGCCGAAGCGAAAGCGAGUGUUAAAAGCACGAAAGAAUCGCUUAUCAUAGACCCGAAACCGGGUGAUCUAUCCAUGUCCAGGUUGAAGCUGCCGUAAGAGGUAGUGGAGGACCGAACACACAUCCGUUGAAAAGGGUGGUGAUGAGGUGUGGAUAGGGGAGAAAUUCCAAUCGAACCCGGAGAUAGCUGGUUCUCCCCGAAAUAGCUUUAGGGCUAGCGUCGAGAGAAGAGUUGCGUGAAGGUAGAGCACUGAAUAUGUGAUGGCCCCAUCUCGGGGUACUGAGCAUAAUCAAACUGCGAAUGUCACGCCAACAUGCUCGGCAGUCAGACAGCGGGUGAUAAGGUCCGUUGUCAAGAGGGAAACAGCCCAGACCAUCAGCUAAGGUCCCAAAAUGUAUGCUAAGUGGAAAAGGAUGUGGAGAUGUACAGACAACUAGGAGGUUGGCUCAGAAGCAGCCAUCCUUUAAAGAGUGCGUAACAGCUCACUAGUCGAAUGACUCUGCGCCGAUAAUUUACCGGGGCUAAGCAUACUACCGAAGCUAUGGAUCCCAAGGGAUGGUAGGGGAGCGUUCCAUGAACGGAGAAGUACGACCGAAAGGACGUGUGGAGAUCAUGGAAGAGAGAAUGCCGGUGUGAGUAGCGGAACGUGGGUGAGAAUCCCACGCACCGAAAACCCAAGGUUUCCAGAGGAAGGUUCGUCCGCUCUGGGUAAGUCGGGACCUAAGGCGAGGCCGAAAGGCGUAGUCGAUGGACAACAGGUAGAGAUUCCUGUACCCGUAUAUAUGUGAAGGAAUGACGGAGAGAGGAAGCUGCAGCCAGCGGCUGGAAGAGCUGGUGCAAGCGAGAUAUCGGGAUGGCAGGCAAAUCCACCAUCCGAAACGAGAAGGCGUGAAGCGUACGGAAAGCUACGGCGAGUACGGAAGGCAGUGGAGGAACUUCCAAGAAAAGUUUCUAACGUUAAGUAUAUAUGGCCCGUACCGAAAAUGGACACACAUGGGUGAGGAGAGAAUCCUAAGGUGAGCGAGAGAACUAUAGCUAAGGAACUCUGCAAAAUGACUCCGUAACUUAGGGAGAAGGAGUGCCCAGGAAUGGGCCGCAGAGAAUAGACCCAAGCGACUGUUUACCAAAAACACAGGUCUGUGCGAAGUAGAGAUACGACGUAUACGGGCUGACACCUGCCCAGUGCCGGAAGGUUAAGGGGAAAUGUUAGGGCAACCGAAGCAUGGAACUUAAGCCCCGGUGAACGGCGGCCGUAACUAUAACGGUCCUAAGGUAGCGAAAUUCCUUGUCGGGUAAGUUCCGACCCGC
rnacentral:rRNA from 1 species